rnacentral:rRNA from 1 species
AGAGUUUGAUCCUGGCUCAGAUUGAACGCUGGCGGCAUGCUUUACACAUGCAAGUCGAGCGGCAGCGCGGGGGCAACCCUGGCGGCGAGCGGCGAACGGGUGAGUAACGCAUCGGAACGUAUCCUCUUGUGGGGGAUAACCCACCGAAAGGUGGGCUAAUACCGCAUAAGCUCUGAGGAGGAAAGCGGGGGACCGAAAGGCCUCGCGCAGGAGGAGCGGCCGAUGUCCGAUUAGCUAGUUGGUGAGGUAAAGGCUCACCAAGGCGACGAUCGGUAGCUGGUCUGAGAGGAUGAUCAGCCACACUGGGACUGAGACACGGCCCAGACUCCUACGGGAGGCAGCAGUGGGGAAUUUUGGACAAUGGGGGCAACCCUGAUCCAGCCAUGCCGCGUGAGUGAAGAAGGCCUUCGGGUUGUAAAGCUCUUUCGGACGGAACGAAAUUGCCUGGGCUAAUACUCUGGGUAGAUGACGGAACCGAAAGAAGAAGCACCGGCUAACUACAUGCCAGCAGCCGCGGUAAUACGUAUGGUGCGAGCGUUAAUACGAAUUACUGGGCGUAAAGCGUGCGC